rnacentral:rRNA from 1 species
GAGCUUGCUCUGGUGGAUUAGUGGCGAACGGGUGAGUAACACGUGAGUAACCUGCCCUUGACUCUGGGAUAAGCGUUGGAAACGACGUCUAAUACCGGAUACGAGCUUCAGCCGCAUGGCUAGGAGUUGGAAAGAAUUUCGGUCAAGGAUGGACUCGCGGCCUAUCAGCUAGUUGGUGAGGUAAUGGCUCACCAAGGCGACGACGGGUAGCCGGCCUGAGAGGGUGACCGGCCACACUGGGACUGAGACACGGCCCAGACUCCUACGGGAGGCAGCAGUGGGGAAUAUUGCACAAUGGGCGCAAGCCUGAUGCAGCAACGCCGCGUGAGGGACGACGGCCUUCGGGUUGUAAACCUCUUUUAGCAGGGAAGAAGCGAAAGUGACGGUACCUGCAGAAAAAGCACCGGCUAACUACGUGCCAGCAGCCGCGGUAAUACGUAGGGUGCAAGCGUUGUCCGGAAUUAUUGGGCGUAAAGAGCUCGUAGGCGGUUUGUCGCGUCUGCUGUGAAAACGCGAGGCUCAACCUCGCGCCUGCAGUGGGUACGGGCAAACUAGAGUGCGGUAGGGGAGAUUGGAAUUCCUGGUGUAGCGGUGGAAUGCGCAGAUAUCAGGAGGAACACCGAUGGCGAAGGCAGAUCUCUGGGCCGUAACUGACGCUGAGGAGCGAAAGCGUGGGGAGCGAACAGGAUUAGAUACCCUGGUAGUCCACGCCGUAAACGUUGGGAACUAGAUGUAGGGACCAUUCCACGGUUUCUGUGUCGCA